rnacentral:misc_RNA from 1 species
CAAUGUUCAUGUGAAGGGCAAUAAGAACAAGGGAGAGGACGAUUAUGGAGGCAAAGUUGGGAAGAAGAAUAGUAACAAGAAGAACAAUGGUGAUAGUAACAACAAUAAUGAUAGCAAGGAUAAGCAAAGUGCUGUUGACAAGAGGUUUAAGACACUGCCACCAUCAGAAUCACUGCCUAGGAAUGAAACUGUUGGUGGCUAUAUCUUUGUUUGUAACAACGAUACUAUGCAAGAGAAUCUCAAGAG